rnacentral:rRNA from 1 species
AGUUUGAUUCUGGCUCAGGAUGAACGCUAGCUACAGGCUUAACACAUGCAAGGUCGAGGGGCAUCAUGGAGUUUGCUUGCAAACUCUGAUGGCGACCGGCGCACGGGUGAGUAACGCGUAUCCAACCUUCCCUAUAGUAGAGGAUAGCCCGGCGAAAGUCGGAUUAAUACUCUAUGUUUUCCGUUGCAGACAUCUAAGAUGGAACAAAGGCUUGCCGCUAUAGGAUGGGGGAUGCGUCUGAUUAGGUAGUCGGCGGGGUAACGGCCCACCGAGCCAUCGAUCAGUAGGGGUUCUGAGAGGAAGGUCCCCCACAUUGGAACUGAGACACGGUCCAAACUCCUACGGGAGGCAGCAGUGAGGAGUAUUGGUCAAUGGGCGAGAGCCUGAACCAGCCAAGUAGCGUGCAGGAUGACGGCCCUAUGGGUUGUAAACUGCUUUUAUGCGGGGAUAAAGUUCGCUACGUGUAGUGUUUUGUAGGUACCGCAUGAAUAAGGACCGGCUAAUUCCGUGCCAGCCGCUGC